GGUAAACGCUGGCGGCGUGCCUAAAACAUGCAAGUCGAACGAGAUCCGCAAGGGUCUAGUGGCAGACGGCUGAGUAACGCGUGGGUGACGUACCUGUUGGUGGGGAAUAACUGCCCGAAAGGGUGGCUAAUUCCGCAUAAGUCCUGUGGAUCGAUCUACAGGGGAAAGCUUCGCAAGAGGCGCCGAUGGAGCGGCCCGCGUCCGAUUAGCUUGUUGGUGGGGUAACGCCUACCAAGGCGACGAUCGGUAGCUGGUCUUAGAGGAUGAUCAGCCAGACUGGGACUGAGACACGGCCCAGACUCCUACGGGAGGCAGCAGUUAGGAAUUUUGGGCAAUGGGCGCAAGCCUGACCCAGCAACGCCGCGUGGGUGACGAAGGCCUUCGGUUGUAAGACC
rnacentral:rRNA from 1 species